rnacentral:rRNA from 1 species
CCUGCCCAGUGAAUUAUUCAACGGCCGCGGUAUCCUGACCGUGCAAAGGUAGCACAAUCACUAGUCUCCUAAAUAGGGACCGGUAUCAACGGCAAAACGAGGGCCUGACUGUCUCCCCCCCUAAAAAUGAAACUUCUUUGGCCGUGCAAAAGCAGCCAUAUAAAUGUAAGACGAGAAGACCCUAUCGAGCUUAAAAGAGCAGAACAAAGAAUAGAGCCUACCGCCGAUCCCUUAUUAUCCUUAAUAUACUUAACUCGCUACCCCUCUUCCUUCCCCUUCCCCCCCCUCUCUUUGGUUGGGGCAACCACGGGAAAUAUACAUCUCCCGCAUUGAUCCGCAUACAAGACCUCAAAUCGAAUAUUACGCAACCUAACAAAUCAUGAUCCGGAUAAACCGAUCCACGAACUAAGUUACCGUAGGGAUAACAGCGUAAUCCCUUCCAAGAGUCCGUAUUGCCGAAGGGGUUUGCGACCUCGAUGUUGGAUCGGGUCAUCCUGAUGGUGCAGCCGCUAUCAAGGGUUGGUCUGUUCGACCAUUAAAGACCUACGUGAUCUGAGUUUCAGACCAGA